rnacentral:rRNA from 1 species
UGGGGAAUAUUGCACAAUGGGCGCAAGCCUGAUGCAGCCAUGCCGCGUGUGUGAAGAAGGCCUUCGGGUUGUAAAGCACUUUCAGCGAGGAGGAAGGUGGUGGACUUAAUACGUUCAUCAAUUGACGUUACUCGCAGAAGAAGCACCGGCUAACUCCGUGCCAGCAGCCGCGGUAAUACGGAGGGUGCAAGCGUUAAUCGGAAUUACUGGGCGUAAAGCGCACGCAGGCGGUUUGUUAAGUCAGAUGUGAAAUCCCCGGGCUCAACCUGGGAACUGCAUUUGAAACUGGCAAGCUAGAGUCUCGUAGAGGGGGGUAGAAUUCCAGGUGUAGCGGUGAAAUGCGUAGAGAUCUGGAGGAAUACCGGUGGCGAAGGCGGCCCCCAUGGACGAAGACUGACGCUCAGGUGCGAAAGCGUGGGGCAGCAAACAGGAUUAGAUACCCUGGUAGUCCACGCUGUAAACGAUGUCGAUUUUGGAGGUUGUGCCCUUGAGGCGUGGCUUCCGGAGCUAACGCGUUAAAUCGACCGCCUGGGGAGUACGGCCGCAAGGUU